rnacentral:rRNA from 1 species
UGGCGAACGGGUGAGUAACGCGUGAGUAACCUGCCCUAGAGUGGGGGACAACAGUUGGAAACGACUGCUAAUACCGCAUAAGCCCACGGUACCGCAUGGUACUGAGGGAAAAGGAUUUAUUCGCUUUAGGAUGGACUCGCGUCCAAUUAGCUAGUUGGUGAGGUAACGGCCCACCAAGGCGACGAUUGGUAGCCGGACUGAGAGGUUGAACGGCCACAUUGGGACUGAGACACGGCCCAGACUCCUACGGGAGGCAGCAGUGGGGGAUAUUGCACAAUGGGGGAAACCCUGAUGCAGCGACGCCGCGUGGAGGAAGAAGGUUUUCGGAUUGUAAACUCCUGUCGUUAGGGACGAUAAUGACGGUACCUAACAAGAAAGCACCGGCUAACUACGUGCCAGCAGCCGCGGUAAAACGUAGGGUGCAAGCGUUGUCCGGAAUUACUGGGUGUAAAGGGAGCGCAGGCGGGAAGACAAGUUGGAAGUGAAAACCAUGGGCUCAACCCAUGAAUUGCUUUCAAAACUGUUUUUCUUGAGUAGUGCAGAGGUAGAUGGAAUUCCCGGUGUAGCGGUGGAAUGCGUAGAUAUCGGGAGGAACACCAGUGGCGAAGGCGGUCUACUGGGCACCAACUGACGCUGAGGC